UUUCCGGUUGAUCCUGCCGGACCUGACUGCUAUCGGAUUGAUACUAAGCCAUGCGAGUCUUUGUAGUAAUACAAGGCAUACGGCUCAGUAACACGUAGUCAACCUACCCUAUGGACGAGAAUAAUCUCGGGAAACUGAGCAUAAUUCUUGAUAGAUCAUAAUGCCUGGAAUGGUUUAUGGUUAAAAUGAUUCGUCGCCAUAGGAUGGGACUGCGGCCUAUCAGCUUGUUGGUGAGGUAAUGGCCCACCAAGGCGAUUACAGGUACGGGCUCUGAGAGGAGAAGCCCGGAGAUGGGUACUGAGACACGGACCCAGGCCCUAUGGGGCGCAGCAGGCGAGAAAACUUUGCAAUGUGCGAAAGCACGACAAGGUUAAUCCGAGUGAUUUCUGCUAAAGAAAUCUUUUGCCAGUCAUAAAACCACUGGUGAAUAAGGGGUGGGCAAGUUCUGGUGUCAGCCGCCGCGGUAAAACCAGCACCUCAAGUGGUCAGGAUGAUUAUUGGGCCUAAAGCAUCCGUAGCCGGCUUUGUUAGUUUUCGGUUAAAUCCAUGUGCUCAACGCAUGGGCUGCCGAAAAUACUGCAUAGCUAGGGAGUGGGAGAGGUAGACGGUACUCAGUAGGAAGGGGUAAAAUCCUUUGAUCUAUUGAUGACCACCUGUGGCGAAGGCGGUCUACCAGAACACGUUCGACGGUGAGGGAUGAAAGCUGGGGGAGCAAACCGGAUUAGAUACCCGGGUAGUCCCAGCUGUAAACGAUGCAGACUCGAUGAUGCAUUGGCAUAAUAGCCAGUGCAGUGUCGCAGGGAAGCCGUUAAGUCUGCCGCCUGGGAAGUACGUACGCAAGUAUGAAACUUAAAGGAAUUGGCGGGGGAGCACCACAAGGGGUGAAGCCUGCGGUUCAAUUGGAGUCAACGCCGGGA
rnacentral:rRNA from 1 species